GAUGAACGCUGGCGGCGCACAUAAGACAUGCAAGUCGAACGGACUUAACCAUUAGUUUACUAUUGGAGCGGUUAGUGGCGGACUGGUGAGUAACACGUAAGCAACCUGCCUAUCAGAGGGGAACAACAGUUAGAAAUGACUGCUAAUACCGCAUAUGCCUUAAGUAUCGCAUGAUACAAGAGGGAAAGGAGUAAUCCGCUGAUAGAUGGGCUUGCGUCUGAUUAGAUAGUUGGUGGGGUAACGGCCUACCAAGUCGACGAUCAGUAGCCGGACUGAGAGGUUGAACGGCCACAUUGGGACUGAGAUACGGCCCAG
rnacentral:rRNA from 1 species